GACGAACGCUGGCGGCGUGCUUAACACAUGCAAGUCGAACGGAAAGGCCCUGCUUUUGUGGGGUGCUCGAGUGGCGAACGGGUGAGUAACACGUGAGUAACCUGCCCUUGACUUUGGGAUAACUUCAGGAAACUGGGGCUAAUACCGGAUAGGAGCUCCUGCUGCAUGGUGGGGGUUGGAAAGUUUCGGCGGUUGGGGAUGGACUCGCGGCUUAUCAGCUUGUUGGUGGGGUAGUGGCUUACCAAGGCUUUGACGGGUAGCCGGCCUGAGAGGGUGACCGGACACAUUGGGACUGAGAUACGGACCAGAAUCCUACGGGAGGCAGCAGUGGGGAAUAUUGCACAAUGGGCGGAAGCCUGAUGCAGAAACGCCGCGUGCGGGAUGACGGCCUUCGGGUUGUAAACCGCUUUCGCCUGUGACGAAGCGUGAGUGACGGUAAUGGGUAAAGAAGCACCGGCUAACUACGUG
rnacentral:rRNA from 1 species